rnacentral:rRNA from 1 species
GAUCCUGGCUCAGAUUGAACGCUGGCGGCAGGCCUAACACAUGCAAGUCGAACGGUAACAGGAAGAAGCUUGCUUCUUUGCUGACGAGUGGCGGACGGGUGAGUAAUGUCUGGGAAACUGCCUGAUGGAGGGGGAUAACUACUGGAAACGGUAGCUAAUACCGCAUAACGUCGCAAGACCAAAGGAGGGGGACCUUCGGGCCUCUUGCCAUCGGAUGUGCCCAGAUGGGAUUAGCUAGUAGGUGGGGUAGG